rnacentral:rRNA from 1 species
CCUACGGGUGGCAGCAGUGGGGAAUAUUGCACAAUGGGGGAAACCCUGAUGCAGCGACGCCGCGUGAGUGAAGAAGUAUUUCGGUAUGUAAAGCUCUAUCAGCAGGGAAGAAACUGACGGUACCUGAUUAAGAAGCACCGGCAAACUACGUGCCAGCAGCCGCGGUAAUACGUAGGGGGCAAGCGUUAUCCGGAUUUACUGGGUGCAAAGGGAGUGGAGACGGAAGGACAAGUCUGGAGUGAAAUGCCGGGGCUUAACCCCGGAACUGCUUUGGAAACUGUGCAGGUAGAGUGCAGGAGAGGUAAGUGGAAUUCGUGGUGUAGCGGUGAAA